GACGUCUGCAAAGAAAAAUGAAAGGGAAUAAAGAGAUUUUUGCAAGGAAAUUUGUCCGAAAAAAUGGAAAUUUCAAGCUAUAAAAGAGGAAAUCAAUUUUUUUGCUGUGGAAACACUGGAACCCGGCUGUUGUGUCAACACAAGUGUUUACCAGAGAGUGUUUACAGUACUAGGCGAGUUUGUUAGGCAUGCGAACGGCGAGAAAAUGCCGAAAAGAUGCGUUGUUGCCGGUUGUAACAACAUAGGAGAUAAGGAAAAAGAAAUAUCGUUGCAUGCAAUUUCUUAUUCGGGGGACGAACGGCCCGAAGCGAAAAAAAAACGAAAGAAAUGGACUGACUUCGUACUAAGCCUCAAACGUGCAAAAUGGACGCUGACGUCGUAUUCAGUCAUAUGCUCUGAGCAUUUCAAGCCCGAGGAUUUUUUGCGACGGUUUUCCCAUGUCGAAGGUGAAAGCUUCGUUGGCAACAGAUGGCUCAAAAGGGACGAGAUCGGAAUUUGUGUAUUCCCAACAAUCAUG